rnacentral:sRNA from 1 species
UCUUCCUUGGGAUUGGCUGUUGCCAUGGAUACGCUCUGUGUAGCGGCUAUGAGCGCUGUCUCACAACAAAGCCAAGGAAUCUCGCUGCUGAGGGUUCUGUGCUUUAUUAUGAAGAAUAAUGGACGAUGAUGAUGAUGCAAAGCUGAAAGCAGAAAUAGAAGCUGAAUUGGAUAAACUCAGCAUUUCCUCCUUGGAAAAAGAAGACAUUGAGAGUGAUACAAAAUCAGAAACCCAGAGUGAUGAUAGUGAUACAGAUUCAGUUGAAUUACCAGAAUCAGUUCUUCAUUGUAUUAACAUCAUAAAGAACAGGAGUAAAGCUGUUGAAGAGCUCAUUCUUCAGGACCUGGAAGAUACUGAUAUUUUAAGCUGUAGUUAUGGAGCAGUUUCUAAUAAUCAUAUGCAUUUAAGAACAGGACUGUCAACUGAAUAUGAAGAAAGUUCAGAGCAAUUAAUUAAGAUAUUAUCUGAAAUAGAAAAAGAAGAAUUUAUGAGAAGUAAAACUGAUUGUGCCAUUCCUGAUUUUGUUCCUGAGCCUAGUCCUCAUGACUUGCCUAUGGAUGAACAUGUUUUACCAGAUGAUGCUGAUAUAAAUUUUGGAUACUGUGAAGUGGAAGAAAAAUGUAGACAAUCUUUUGAGGCUUGGCAAGAGAAACAGAAGGAAUUAGAAGAUAAAGAGAAAGAAACUCUCAAAGCUCAGAGGGAUAGAGAAGAAAAACAAUUUCAAGAAGAAGAAGAAAAGCGACAUUGCUGGAUGAAACAAUUUAAAGUUGAAAAGAAGAAAUUAGAGAAUAUUCAGAAGCAAGAACAGGACAAGAUGAAUGAUGAACUCUAUAAAGAAGAGAAAAUUUGGAAAGAGAAAUUUAAACAGCAUGAGGAGUAUAUUAGAAACUUGCAUUUACAAAUGGAAGAAGAAAGAACAAGAUUUAAAGACCAACAAGAAAAAGAAAAAAAUUGUUUGUUAAAACAGAAGAAUAAUGCAGCUGUUAAAAUUCAAGCUAAAUAUAAAGCAUUUGUAGCCUAUCAAAAAUAUGGCCCAAUUAUUAAAGAGCAAAUUGAAAAUAAGAAAAGGAAAGCACAGGAGUGGAAGGAAAAGGAAGCAAAAAUACGACAAAAGGAGGAAGAAAAUCAAAAAAGAUUAGAGGAGGAACAAAGGAUAAAAGAAGAGAGAAAAAAGCAAAAGGAAGAGGAAAGGAAAAGGAGAGAAAAAGAAUAUGAAGAAAAAAAGAAUAUUGUGAAACAAGAAAGAGAGCAACUAAUAAGCAAGGAAAAAAUAAUAUUAAGAGAAGAUGCAAGCCAGCAGCUAAUAAUAAGUAGUGCAUUAAAGGAGAGAGGAUAUAAUAACAAACAUUUAAGUCUUGAAGAUAUUUCAAAUGAUAAAGGUGAUAGAGCCAAAAGUCUAGUGGAUGAAAAUUCAAAGAAGCAGGAAGAUGUUCUCCUUUGGCUAGUUGAGGAAUCAAAUAUGAAAGAAAAUGUAGGUAGACAGACUAUAUUAAAAGAAUCAACACAAGUCAAGUUAAAAGAAUCUAUAGCAAGCCAAACAAUUCUGGCAGAUUUUAAAAUGGAAGAAAAAAAUGAAAACCUAGCAAAAAAACAAUGUUCAGAAGAAUUGGUCAAGCAAGAAAGAAAAUAUGAAAAUACAGAUAACAAAACUGAAUUGGGAAACUCUGAUCUAAAAGGAAAUCUUAAAGAACAGUUUCCGUUGCAAGAAUUAAAGUCUGAUGCACAAAAAGAAGAAAUCAUGAAACAUGUCAUAAAUGAGAAUACAGGACAAAAAACCCAGAUAAUAUUAGGACAUAACCAAGAAAUCAACGAGGUGAAAACCAAUGAAGCGCAGAAAAUAAUCAAAGAUAAUCAGCAGAAAAAGAUACAAAAAGUAGAAAAAGAAGAGAUACAAGAACAGAAUGGAUUAUUAUAUAAAGAUAAGGAUACUUUAGUUAUUUCAGUGAAACAAAAAUCACUCUCACUAACAUCAGAAAAUUCCAAAGAUGUAGGAGAAAAUGUAAUAUUACAAGAGAAAGAAAUUUAUUCAAAAUCCAAAGAAAUUGAGGAGAACCCAAAAGACAAUGCUUGGAAUAGUGGCAUUGUGAUUUUUAACACAACUGAUACCAUGAUAAAUAGAGAAGGCAAAAGAAAUGACCAAGAUUGUGUGUUAGGUAGACAUGCUCCUUGUGAAGGCUUGAGUGACUAUAAUGCAGAAAGCUCCAUGGUAUCUAAAGAAGUCAACUCUUUUAAAUCUGAGAUUAGAAAAAUUUCAGAAAAAUGCCAUGAAAAUGCACCUGAACCUGAAAGCAUGACCUGCUGUGUAUCAGAGUCAACCCUUCUAUAUUCUAUUGAAGAAAAGAGACUAGCCUGGAUAAAAUCAUUUAAACCUUGGCUUGAAAUUUUCAAGCAAAAUCAACAAAAGAAAAUUGUUAGAAGAAAGAGACCUGUGAAAUGCCCAGCCAACAUGACACCCGUUUUGGAUAAACUGGAAAUUCUUCGAUGUGGCCCUUGGGAUACUUUACAGCAGGUUACAACAGUUACAUUUCAAGAUUUGCCAGGCUGUGUUCUCUCUACACUGGCAGAGUGUACAAAUCUUCAGUUUCUAUCCCUUCGACGCUGUGGAUUAACUUCUUUGCACAGCCUGAGUAAUUGUAAAAAACUUAAGUACAUUGAUGCACAGGAAAACCAUAUUGAGGCUAUUGAGUGUGAAAAUUUGGAAAAUCUCUGUGUUGUUCUUCUUAAUAAAAAUCAACUGACUUCUCUUCAUGGUUUGGAUGGCUGUACUAAUAUUCAAUGUCUUGAACUUUCACAUAAUAAAAUUACUCGAAUUGGAUAUUCCUUCUUUCUGGAAGAAGACCUUGUUGACAAUACAGGGGGUCUGCCAUCACUUGGGCACCUCCACUUCUUACUUAUCCCUCACACAAGUCUGGAUUCCAACUGGAUUAUGUUGGUCCCGGAUACCUAUUACCUCACUUACAAAAGAUUCAGAUUGUAAUUUCCUUAUCUCCCACUUAUACUGGAAUUGUGGUUUAGAAUCUUUGAAAAAUCUUCAGCAACUAAUUUUGGACCACAAUCAGUUAAUUAGUACAAAAGGUCUUUGUGAUACACCUACCAUUGUAUACCUAGAUUGCUCCCAUAAUCAUCUUACUGAUAUAGAGGGCGUUGAAAAUUGUGGAUUGCUCCAAAUAUUGAAGUUACAGGGAAAUUAUCUGAGUGAGCUUCCAUCCUUGGAGAAUCUUGUUUUACUAAGAGAAUUGCACUUGGAUGAUAACAGCAUUUCAACUGUGGAAGCAUUUUCUUCAUACUGGCUGCCUUUACUACAAAAUAUUACUAUCUCUCAAAACAGCUUGACCAAAAUUGUACCACUUUUUCAUUUUGUUUCAUUGGAAAAGCUAGAUGUCAGCCACAAUUGUCUUUCUGAUCUUAAAAGUGCCAUAAAAUGGUUUGAUGCAUGCUAUUCUCUCCGUGAAUUGUCUCUCACUGGAAACCCACUUCUUCAAGAAACAAACUGGAGGGAUUCUCUACUUAAAGUGUUGCCUGCUCUGAGAAUCCUUAAUGGCAAUAUGCUAAACUCUAAUUCAGAAAGCCGCAUUGAAGAACACAAUCAACUGGAAUCAGCAGAUUUCCUGGCACUUUGUCAGUCUCAGAUUCGAGAAUUCAACUUGCUAAUUGAAAAUUAUGUAACUGGAAAAGGAGAUGUAUUUACCUUGGAUACUGCAGAAAAUCUCUGUCAUUAUUUUAAGAAAUUGAUGAUACUUAGUACUGAAUACCGACAUGCACACGAACGAGGGGAUGUAAGUAUCACCAAGAAAGAUGAAUCAGAAGCCCAGAAAAAUCAUUUGGCCCCUACAAACAGUGACAGCACUCUGCAAAAUGGAGUCUUCUACUCUUGUGCACAUGAAGGUAAUCCAGACUCACCAGAUAUUCCUGAGAAAUGGAUGGACUCUGUCUCCAGCCACUCCCCAUUAAGCAACUCCUCCACAUGUGAAAAUAUGGAAGGAAGACAUCAGGAAAUAUUAGUAUGUCAGAAGAGAGAAGACAGCAAGGCAAGCAGUAUUCCCACCAUAAGAAUCCCAUUUAAGGAAGUAGUAAUGACAAAUUAUUUGCCGAGGAAUCACCAAAAUAUUGAGCCUAGUGAAAAAAUGUAAGAUAUAUAAAUAAUGUUUCUUUUAUAGAUGUAUGUUUACUACUUUUGAUGGAUGAUAUUAGUCAAUGGUACCUAGUAAUUUGCUGAAGGAUUUAAAUCACAAUCAUAUUUCAUACCGAUUCCAUUAUGUUUUCAUGAGGUGCAUUAAUUAUGUUUUCAUGAGGUGCACAAAUCAUUAAUUAUAGUGCAUAUUAAUUUGAUUAAAUUCUCAUUUAAUUUCUAGUAGUAUUUAAAUGAGUAAAUGUGAAUUUUUUUCUGCCUUGUAAUUUCUAAAUAAUAUGUUUUAAGGAGAAAUAAAAUAUCACACUCAAAAUAAUAAAAACAUUUUGUAAGU